UACAGAGGUCUCAAGCGUUGUUCGGAUUCAUUGGGCGUAAAGGGUGCGUAGGCGGCGCGGUAAGUCGGGUGUGAAAUCUUGGAGCUUAACUCCGAAACUGCAUUCGAUACUGCCGUGCUUGAGGACUGGAGAGGAGACUGGAAUUUACGGUGUAGCGGUGAAAUGCGUAGAUAUCGGGAGGAACACCGGUGGCGAAGGCGGCGAUCUGGGUAGAUACUGACGCUGAGGUGCGAAAGCGUGGGGAGCAAACAGG
rnacentral:rRNA from 1 species